AUACGUAGGGUGCGAGCGUUGUCCGGAAUUACUGGGCGUAAAGAGCUCGUAGGUGGUUUGUCGCGUCGUCUGUGAAAUUCCGGGGCUUAACUCCGGGCGUGCAGGCGAUACGGGCAUAACUUGAGUACUGUAGGGGAGACUGGAAUUCCUGGUGUAGCGGUGAAAUGCGCAGAUAGCAGGAGGAACACCGGUGGCGAAGGCGGGUCGCUGGGCAGUAACUGACGCGGAGGAGCGAAAGCAUGGGUAGCGAACAGGAUUAGAUACCCUGGUAGUCCAUGCCGUAAACGGUGGGCGCUAGGUGUAGGGGUCUUCCACGACUUCUGUGCCGUAGCUAACGCAUUAAGCGCCCCGCCUGGGGAGUACGGCCGCAAGGCUAAAACUCAAAUGAAUUGGCGGGG
rnacentral:rRNA from 1 species